UUUGUAUUACGUGCGGAAAUUGUUACCAUUUUUGAGCCGAAAACGGUAACAAUUUCCACACGUAAUACAAA
rnacentral:miRNA from 1 species